rnacentral:lncRNA from 1 species
UAUGUUAUUAGGUUGAUUCAUCGUAAUUUGUAUUUAUAUUUUAUAUUAUUAUAUGAAUUGACUAGUUAAGGUGUUUAUUAUUUACUGGGCUGUCUAGCUCAUUAUACGAUUUCUUACUGUUUUUACAGAUCCGAAGAAUUAGCUCGAUCCGGGGGUUUUACAAUAUGGGAGAGCGAAUACAAGAAUUUUGACACAAGUUAUCUUAGAUUAGGUUUUAUUUAAGUUAAUGUUCUAUCUUUAUUGUUCCGCUGCGCAUUGAGAACUGUGAAACUUUAUAAUUUGUGUCAGUCAAUGGAAUAAGAUUG